CUCGUCUCUCCGGUUCAUCGUAUAUAUUCUUGUGGACAGUAUGACAGUAGUGGCUUCUGGAUGGAUCUCGCAUACCGAUACAAGAGAUGGUGGAUUAUUAGCGAAUAUUAAUUUUGAAGAUUCGCGGAUGGAUAAGGGAUACGAAGAUUCGAAGUAGCUGAUGAUUAGCAUCAAAUUUGGACUCGAAAAAUAAAAAUAUUUAAUAAGGGAAUAUUAAUUAAAUUCGUCGGAAAGAUAUGGAUAUUGGCAUUAAAACGUUGAAUCGUGACACUAUUUCAAGAAAGGUUUCUAGGUUGAAUCGAGAAAAUAAUUUUUCUAGUAGAAAAAGAUUGGAAUCGAUCGUUCCUUGGGCAAACUCGUCAGGCAGGAACAUUCCAGUUUCGCAGCACAGGAUAGCUAGGUACAUACAAUGUGCAAACAUUCUGUGCGGCUUGCCACGUUUCUACGAAAGCAUUUCCCUCCUCUGUAUCCCGGCCUCUUGUUCAGGUAAGAGGUAAGUAAACGAGUUCCAUUGCCCGGUCGGCUUUUCAAGAGGGAGUAACGAACAGGAGAGCCUCUUUUACACCCCGAGUCGUAAAACUUUGGGCCUGUCGGCUCACGAAUCGUUAAUCGAGCCGACUGGCGUCCUCUGUUAACGCUUACGUCCGACAAAUUGUUAACGUUGUCGAGGAAUGUAAAUUUAGAGAAACAAUCGACGAUAAAUAAAUUUGGAACGCGGUUUCAUUAGGGACUGAACGCAACAUUGAUUUUUAUGUGAAAAGUAAUAGGUAAAGGAAUGCCCAUUUCUCAGAAAUUGUAAAUUGAAAUUUGAAAUAUAGAAAAAUUUUUCUCUUUCACGAA